UUACGGUCAAAUCACGCUGAAACACCGGUUCUCGUACGAUCACCGAAAUUAAGCAUCGUAGAGCCAGGUCAGUACUUAGAUGGGGGACCGCUUGGGAACACCUGGUACUGUAAG
rnacentral:rRNA from 1 species